UAUAGCCACAGCUACUCCCUGUGCCUCUCUGAGCCACAGACAUUUCAGCCUAGGUGCCUAGAUAAAGGGCAUAAGCCCCUACAUUCUCUACCUGGCCAAGUGCUGAUUUAAUCCUUAGGCAGCAUCUCACUCACCAACUUGAAAUCAGGCAGUGAUAUAGCAUAUGAAUAAGGCCAUCAUUGCUCUUUCCGGCUUUUGUAGCAGGGGCACCGUAGGGGUGGCUUGUGUGAGAAGAUGUCAGAAGCUAUACCCGUGUCUGACAGGGCCAGUUCCAUCCAGCUCCAAGAAGGAAUCACCACUGGGCAAAGCUGAACUCAUCAGGAAUGGUAGCACUUCUAUGACAACAUGUUGAAGAAGGAGUAAAAAACACUGCACAAAGCAGCUGAGGAAGAGAAGAUGUCAGUGAAACCCCCAUGCAGACACCAAGGCCAGUGAAAAAGAAGGGGGAGCAGAGCACUAGAGCAGAGAUUCCCUGGCAGACCAUGGUGAGGCCGACUGUUCGCCCGCAGCCCAUGGAGCUCCACAGCGGAGCAGAGACCCACCUGCAGCCUGUGGAGGACCCCAUGAGAAAGCAGAUGGCUGUGACCCUGUAGGAGAGUUCAUGAAGAACUCUCCCAUGGGAGGGAUUCUCAUGGAGAAGUUCAUGAAGGACUGUUUCCUUUUGGUGGGACCCUAUGCUGGAGCAGGGGAAAAGAAUGAGGAGGAAGGAGUGGCAGGAUCAACUUUGUGAUGAACCGAGCACAACCCUCAUUCCUCAUCCCACUGUGCCACUCAGGAGGAGGAGGAAGAGAUGUCAGGAGUGAAAUUGAGCCCAGGAAGGAAGACCUUUGUUCUUAUUUCUCAUUAUCCUAGUCUGAUUUUCACUGGCAACAAAUUAAUUUCCCCAAGUGGAGUCUGUUUUGCCAGCAAAGGUAAUUAGUAAGUGAUCUCCCUGUCCUUACUUUGACCUACAAGUUUUUCAUUGUAUUUUUCUCCCUGUGUGUUGCUGAUGGAAGGGGAGUGAUACAGUGACUUGGUGGGCACCUGGCAUCUAGCCAGGGUCAAUCUACCACACUCACUCUCUGCUUCUCUAUUAAUUUGGUAUUCCUUCCUGCCUGGUCCUAAUGCAUCAAGAUGAGAGAAGAGUACAGCCUUCUUUUGGUCAGCGUAGGCCACUGAUUGAGGAAUUUUUUUAUUAUAGCAGAAAUCUGAACAUACUAGGGAAAAACAAAAUUAUUGAAUUAUAGCCAGUUCCAGGGCAUUGGCAAUAACUACCAACCUGAAGGGGAAAAAAAAAAUCCUGAAAGUUACAUAAAACUAUGAUUUUUUAAAAUUGUUUUAUUUAUUUGAAUGAUCCUGGCUAUCUUUCUCAGUCAGAAGUGGAGGCAAGAGAUAGAUUAAAAUAUAUGUUUAUCAGAUUGAGUCUUGCUGGUACCACAGAAAAUUUAUGAGGCAUGUUAGCAUCCUAAUGUCAGUGAAGCUGAAGUAGACACAUUGGUACUAGGGGAAUGAAACAGCUUUGCUCAAAAUUUAAUUUAUGUAGAGCCUUUGCAGUUCUCAGGACUGGGUGCUUCAGGAUCAUAGUUCUGAAUACAGAGUGUCUAAAUUAAGUAAUAUCCUCUUCAAGCAUGUAAUGUUUCAUCUAAAUUAGCCCUGAGGCUUAUAACAUCUAUGAUAUAAUAACUGUAAACUGCAAUUGUUUUAUUUUUCAUUUUACAGCCACAAAUCCUAAUCCUAACUCAAGGACAAAGUAGAACUGUGAGAGAUUUUCUUCCUAUAGGAACAGACUGAUUAGACCUAGUGAGAAAAACUGACACAGGAAGGUGAGGUUAGUUUUGUGAGCUUUAAUGCCGCAGGAGACGGAAAUCUGCAUUAUAACAUUUUGAGUGAUUUGCUAGCUUUGUAGAAUUUGUUUAGCCAUUAUCUAACACCCCAAAGAUAUAUUCUUUAACAGUUUUAUAGUUUGUUGACAUUGAAAUGGUCAGGAAAGUUAAUGCAAGCCCAUUAAAGCCUAAUUCAAUGUAUAUAAGUUAAAAUAUAUAAUAGUCCUUGUAUUUGUAAUUAUUCAGGAUCAAAGCAUUAUUUAGUCCUACAGAGAUAUUUUGAUUAUUAAAUGCAAGUGUAAUAAAUAUACUUACAUAGAUUCAUCUUGCACUGUAAAGUUUUUUCUGAAUGUCUUGACGUAGACAAACCAAUAGUUGCCUUGUGCAUAUGGCCAUCAUUUCUCUAAUACAGUAGGAUUCAAAUUAAACUAGCAUUUCAAAAUUUAGCCAAAUAAAAAUAUACCAUUCAUUAAUUAAAUGAACUGUUUAUAAACUGAAAAACAAGAGACUACUCUUUUUCUCUCUAGUGCUUUCUGUACAAUACCUUGUACUCUCGUUCUCUCUUUCAGCUUCUCUUGGUUUUAGAUUUCGGAGAACUUUCCCCUUUCAGCCAAAAAAUUAAUUUCACCAAUGUAACAUCAGCAAGCCACUAGAUAUAUGCCAGUAUUAAGUGACUUUGCAUGUUUAUGUACAAGAAAGCAAAAAUUUAAAUCUAGUUAAUAAUUAAAGCACACUUAACAUUUAUUGACUUUAUCAUCAUUCAUAAUCAUAUCAUCUUUCAUGUAUCGAGAAAUAUUUUAAGAGAUUAGGAUGACUGCAUUAUAAUAUGUCACUCAAGAAAGUGCAGUGGACAGCCACUGCAUUCAGCAGAAAUCUACUUUACAGGAUAUAUACAUACCACCUUUAAUUAAUCUCUAGUGGAAACAUGAAAAAAAAUCUUCAGGUCCUGAUUUUUGUUGCCAGAAAUUUUGCUGUUGUUUUAGAUAUCAUUAAUCAGGUUUUUUCCUUGCAUACACAACUAAUUUCUAAUUUUUUGUUCUCCCUUUCUCCAGUGUUUGAAGUACUUCAGGACAGAGAAUUAUUUUUGCUCAAUAGUGUUACUAUGGAUGUCUGCAAUCUUGAUUUAAGGAGCAGAUGGAACAUAGUGAAAGUGUCUGCCCUACGGUUCACCAUGUGAAGUGACAUCCUGAACCAACACUAAGUCAUACAGGACACUCAGGGCUGGGAAAGCAGUCCCAAGUGUAUUUUGAGGAUUGAUGUCUUGUGUGUACAGCAGAAACACUGCUACAAAAGCAGUUGUGUUCUGCCACAAAAGCCUAUGUAAUAUACGAGGCUGGUUGGCAUGAAGAUCACGCAGAAGUGCAGCUGAGAAGCUGGAGAAAGACAGCAUACCAAGCUCACUUAAUCCCUUUCAGAAAUUUUUACAGUACUUAGCUUCAUUUGGGUCCAAAUUAAGACAAUCAAGGGAAUGAAUGGAAGAAAAAUAACAUUAAAAUACCCAUUAAUAGUACUACAAAAUGCCUCUAGUAUUUUCCACUGUCUUGAAAACCUACUGUUCUACCUAAAAAUAUAAAUACCAGAAACAAUGUAAUAGCUUCCAUUGUCAACAAUGUAGUUGUUUUUUAUGUUUAAAUACUUUUGUCUGAAAGUGCUAAAUACUCUUCUCAGAGUCCUCCAAUUCUAGACUUCUGAUAUUCUGAUUCCCUAAAACUCUAUUUCGGUUCUUUCUGCAUCAUACUCAGCUUUGGUUUAGAUCAGAAGAGAAAUGGCAGUACCAUGCAGCCCAAAAUACAACAGGGGUUACAACUUUUGGGAAAUCUUCCUCUGUUUGAAAAACCAAGAGAAAAAUAUUUAACCACCAAAAGAUAUCUUCUCUUUAGAUUUUAUAAUCCACUUUUCUCUUGCCUGGACCAAAGUAUGAUUGUGGGAUGUGAGCAGAAAGUAUCACCUAGGAGCAGAUUUAAUUGUGGUGACUCUACCAGUGCAGUUGACUCAUUUUCCUUCCCUCAGUCUCCCUAGCAUCCCCCCACCACUUUCACUGUAAGCAGUGUUUUGCAAAGACUUUGAUGGCAAAGGCCGCUCUGAUACAGCUGGUGAUGUUGAGAGGAAGAUGCUGAGGCUUCUUUGCCUUCUGAUAAAUUCCAAUAGCUAAGACAGUUGUUUAUAACGUUGUCAUCUUCAAAUGACUGCCUAUUCUUCCUCCAAAUUGAGUUUUCCUUAUUGUUUUGCUAUUCUGUGACCAACAAAGAUUUGAACCAUAGAAGUAGGAGAGAGCUGGCUCAGGUGUUACCCCUGUGGGCUAAGUACCAGGUGUCUACAAAGGGCUGUGUCCCAGUCUUUGAUAUGUAAGAUACUGCAAGCCUUUCAUCUGAAACAUGCAAUGAGAGCACUUGGUCGUUGGAUUUUAGUUUGCUGUCUAAAUUAACAAUAAAGUCCUGUUUUAUUAUGC